UAGACACCCAAAGGAGGUGUGGAGUCAGCAGGUGCAUAUGAAAGGAUCUGCUGUUCAGGAGUGAGGCCUGGACUGGAAACAGGCAUUUGGGAAUUACCAGCGUGUGGAUGGCCUUUAAAGCAAGAGACUGGGUAAGAGGGCCGAGGGCAUGAAUACAGAGACCAAGAACACAGACGGGAAAGUGAGACCAUGCGUGGAUGGGGUCUGUAAGCGAAUCUGGGUAAAAUACCACCAACCUUGGAGUGAAAUAAAUGACAUCUUGGUUUUGUUUUCUUCUUAAUUUAAAUGAACCUUUAACUUUAGAAUUGUUUUAGAUUUACAGGAAAGUUGCAAAGACAGUUUAGAGAGUCCUUGCACCUCUCCCCCAGCUUCCUCUAUGCGAACACCUCACUUCACUCUGAUACGUUUUUCGCAGCUAGGAAACAGGACCGGCACUCUACUGUUAACUAAAUGCUGCAGCUUCGUUCCAGUUCCACUCAUUUUUCCUGAAGACUUUUGUCUUGAUCCCACCCUUCAGCUUAACAUUCAAGUCCAGCCUUUGCUCACAUGUCCAGCCUGACCUCUGGGUGACAACUCCCUUCCUCCUGCCUUCUCUUCCGAGACUCAGUGGGUCGCCCGGAUGAGCUUUCAGGGAGACUUCAAACCAAGGGAGGAGGCCUCGGAGGAGUGGGGGCAGGGAAGCCGCCUUCAAGAGAUGGAAUUCCUCUCGUUAUCAGAGCCUUGAGGCUCUCUCCCCAACCCAGCCUGAAAACUCCCUCCUGCCCCACUCCGUUUACACCAAAGGGAGGAGCCUCCUGAGCAUCGUCUUCAUGCUGAGAAAAAUUCUGGGAAGUACAGGAAAUGCAUGAUUUCAGUCAAAUGGCCAGUGUUGACUCCCAGGCCCAUGUUUUGUCUUGAAUUUUUUUUUUUAAUGGAGGUACUGGGGAAACGCUCUACCACUGAGCUAUAUACCCCAACCCCUUGUCUUGAAUUUCUGCAUUCUUUUCAGUAGAAGCCGAAAGCUCUGGGAGGAGGGCCAGCGGACUUUAGCUCCUGGAAUCUUGAGUUCAGAUCCGAGCUCUGAAAUCCAUCUUGGACGAGGCCUUCACUUUUGCAAGUCUGAAAGGGUUAGAGUCCAAGUCAUCUGGAGAUGAAUUAGGUCUAAUUUCCACCACGUAUUAAAAGAAAACUACUAUAACAGUCCUUACCCUCCCCGCUUCUCAGGCUUGUAAUAAGAGUCAAGUCUGAGAGCCGAUGUUUGUGAAGGGCACUGUUCCUUCCCUCAGCGACCGCUGAGCGACUCCCCUGCCAGCACAGGGCUCAGCUCUGUGCUCAGGGAGGUGUGGAACUGAAAUGUUGAACUGAAUUGAACGAAUUAGAUGUAGAAAUGAAAAACCAUCAACACAGUACAAUACACCCAGUCAAGGAUUUUUGUUUUUACUUAGCAAACACUUACGUGGUAUUUAUUUUGUUGUAGGCACCUUUCUAAACACUUAGCAAAUAUUAAGUCCCUGCGUUUAGGGGAAAAAAAGGCAGCAUGAUGACAGUGAAAAGUUUAAGAUUACGGAAGUAGUCUCGCCAACAAACUGCUUAGAGUUGAGGCUAUUCUUUGGCUUAAUAAAUAUUUGUAGAAUGCCUUCUACAAGCUGGGUACAUAUAUCUUAAUCUGAAACUGGGGCCCUGCUGUUUAAUCCCGUAGAAUGGGGUAGCUCUGCGGGGCCCUCCUGUAGUCACUAAUUAACGACUGCGUUUGCCACUGAGGCCGGGCAACCCAGGGGGAGCUCCUAGGGCCAGGCAGAGGUUUCUGUCCUAUUCUUAUCCCUUAAAAUGCAACCAGCCUCUUGUGCCAGGCCGUGGCCAGCACCAUUUCUGAAUAAUUUCUUAGUCCCACCUCACCGCUUUUUGUUUUUCUCCCAAUCAGAUUAAAACCUAUGAACUCUGACCCAGAAAAAUGUACAGAACAUACUAUUUUGCAAAUAAUGCCAUAGGGUUCCUAGCGUGCAGCUUAAAGCCCUGUGCUUUAGACGGAGGCCAGGAAGGGCUAGGGGCCCAGCCUUCUUUUCCCGGUAGGGUACUUUGUUUUAAACAACAAACGGUGUGCUUGGCCCCACAUCCUGUUUCACUGGCGGGAAGAAUAGGUUCCCCGCAGGGUUGAAGGAGCUGCCAUAGAAAUGCCAAACCAGUGGGACAAUGGGGAGAGGAAGAAAUACACUAGCACCAGGAAAGAACUGGAAGUUUCAGAGCUUACCUCGUCUCUAGGACAGAGAGUGGGGGCUGAUAUUUGGAGGUAGGACAAGUAAGUAUGGAACUCUUAUUAGGCACUCAAUUAAUGUGAUUUUCUUUCCUUCUGACUUUCCCAUGUUUGUCUACAUUUAUGUAGGUGCAUAAUCACCUAUGAGGAAGGCGGUGUGUGCUUCUGAAGAAGAAUGAAGAGAUUCUACACCUGGAUAUCAGUCAGGAGCUGGGGGGUUUUUAGGGACUUUGGGGUUUUGUGGGCUGUGGGAGGCUGGUGACCUUUGUGGUCUAGGGGAUUCCUUCCUUGUCCAUUUUAAUACUUAGAUUAAUAUCCGAGGAUACCUUUGUCUUCAAAGUUGCUUUUGACUUUGGAGAGCCUUAAGAGGUGUGGUCCAGAGUUGAAUCUGUCUCCUUUGGGCUGUUAGAAGUUCAUCACCCUAGACGCUUUCAAUCUUUUGAACAGUAGCAACUCAGACCUCAAGAUCAAGCUUGAGGGUCACCUUCUGUGUCUACAGGCUUCCCUGGUGUAUUGCUUUUCCCUCCUGUUCCCCCAAAUCCUGUCCUAAUAUCUUACGAAGGAAAAAGCGACAACUACAGAUCUACGUUGAAUCUCAGCUGCUUGUGUGUCUCUCUGUUCUACUCUGUCUUUAACUCUAGGGAACAUAGUGCUGAGACAAAGCCGUUGAUCAAUCUGGGUGCAAUGGGGGAACAAUGCACCUAAAUUUAAUCCUUUUGCAAACAAACAAGAAAUUAAAUAUAUGAAUCACA